rnacentral:rRNA from 1 species
UACGUAGGGUGCGAGCGUUAAUCGGAAUUACUGGGCGUAAAGCGUGCGUAGACGGCUAUCUAAGUCGGGUGUGAAAGCCCCGGGCUCAACCUGGGAAUUGCAUUCGAGACUGAAUAGCUAGGGUACGGUAGAGGGAAGUGGAAUUUCCGGUGUAGCGGUGAAAUGCGUAGAUAUCGGAAGGAACAUCAGUGGCGAAAGCGACUUCCUGGACCAGUACCGACGUUCAGGCACGAAAGCGUGGGGAGCAAACAGG